rnacentral:rRNA from 1 species
GACGAACUGCCCAAACGUUGUUCGGAAUCACUGGGCUUAAAGGGCGCGUAGGCGGCAGAUCAAGUCAGGGGUGAAAUCCGGCGAGCUCAACUGUCGAAAGUGCCUUUGAUACUGAUUUGCUCGAGGGAUAUAGGGGUCUGUGGAACUUCUGGUGGAGCGGUGAAAUGCGUUGAUAUCAGAAGGAACGCCGGUGGCGAAAGCGACGGACUGGAUAUCUUCUGACGCUGGAGGCGCGAAAGCUAGGGGAGCAAACGGG